rnacentral:rRNA from 1 species
AUUGAACGCUGGCGGCAGGCCUAACGCAUGCAAGUCGAGCGGAUGAAGGGAGCUUGCUCCUGGAUUCAGCGGCGGACGGGUGAGUAAUGCCUAGGAAUCUGCCUGGUAGUGGGGGAUAACGUCCGGAAACGGGCGCUAAUACCGCAUACGUCCUGAGGGAGAAAGUGGGGGAUCUUCGGACCUCACGCUAUCAGAUGAGCCUAGGUCGGAUUAGCUAGUUGGUGGGGUAAAGGCCUACCAAGGCGACGAUCCGUAACUGGUCUGAGAGGAUGGUCAGUCACACUGGAACUGAGACACGGUCCAGACUCCUACGGGAGGCAGCAGUGGGGAAUAUUGGACAAUGGGCGAAAGCCUGAUCCAGCCAUGCCGCGUGUGUGAAGAAGGUCUUCGGAUUGUAAAGCACUUUAAGUUGGGAGGAAGGGCAGUAAGUUAAUACCUUGCUGUUUUGACGUUACCAACAGAAUAAGCACCGGCUAACUUCGUG